GGGUCAGUAGGUUGGUCGUGCCACCGGUACGUACUGGUCUCACUGAUUCCUCCUUCCUGAAGAACCGUAAUGCCAUUAAUUUGGUGUUGCGGGGAAACAGGACCGUUACUUUGAAAAAAUUAGAGUGUUUAAAGCAAGCUAACGCUUGAAUACAUUAGCAUGGAAUAAUGAAAUAGGACGAUCGAUCCUAUUUUGCUGGUUUCUAGGAUUGACGUA
rnacentral:rRNA from 1 species